rnacentral:rRNA from 1 species
GACGAACGCUGGCGGCGUGCCUAAUACAUGCAAGUAGAACGCUGAAGGAGGAGCUUGCUUCUCUGGAUGAGUUGCGAACGGGUGAGUAACGCGUAGGUAACCUGCCUGGUAGCGGGGGAUAACUAUUGGAAACGAUAGCUAAUACCGCAUAAGAGUAGAUGUUGCAUGACAUUUGCUUAAAAGGUGCAAUUGCAUCACUACCAGAUGGACCUGCGUUGUAUUAGCUAGUUGGUGGGGUAACGGCUCACCAAGGCGACGAUACAUAGCCGACCUGAGAGGGUGAUCGGCCACACUGGACUGAGACACGGCCCAGACUCCUACGGGAGGCAGCAGUAGGGAAUUUUCGGCAAUGGACGGAAGUCUGACCGAGCAACGCCGCGUGAGUGAAGAAGGUUUUCGGAUCGUAAAGCUCUGUUGUAAGAGAAGAACGAGUGUGAGAGUGGAAAGUUCACACUGUGACGGUAUCUUACCAGAAAGGGACGGCUAACUACGUG